GCGUUGGGAUCUAAAAUCUGUCAGGCUGCUGGCAGGCCACUGUCAUGCUAGUCACGAAUAUACGGUCCGGGAUACACCUAGUAGCGUACAUGUUUGGCCCAUGGCCUGCUCCUGUACCUCUUCUAGUCUUCGCUGCGGCGUCGCACACGUGAAGGCUGCUCCAUCCUGUCUCCAACAAUGCGCGUGCGACCGAAGCGACGGCCGGAGCACUCGUCCUCUUCCAUUCCGGCGGCCAAACCACCUGGAUCCCGCGUCAUCUUCCACUCCGGCGGCCAGAUCACCUCGAGCCUGCGCAACACCGGAUCUGCAGAGGACGCGGUCCUCGUCCAUGGAUCUGACCGAGGGAAAUCAUUUUCUCCAUUGUUUCCGUCGCAGGAUCCGUGUUGGGAUGGCAAAGCCGAUUUCUGAUGUCUUCCGUCGCGGGAUUCCAUCAUCAUCGCCGAUUCCAGUUGGGCCGCGACGGCGAGGGCACACAGCUGUGCAGAGACGUCGACUUUGAUGUUUGCUCAGAGGCCACCAGCGGUUGGACCAUAAGGGUUAGGAUAAACUGCCUUAUGAACAACAUUUGAAGAGGUCUGCGUUUGCAAGAUUUGUGGAGUGCAAAAGCACAACAUGUCUUGAUAGAGGAGAUUUUCGGAAGGAGCCAAGGAAAUUGCCAAAAUGUUUGAAUGUGGUGUUCUGAAUUGUGUGUGGUAAGGACACUGGACCAUUUGAAGCUAACUUUCAUUGGAUGGUUGUUGUUAGCCAAAGAGUUUCCAACUCAGGAAAUCCUUAUUAUGUGCCAUUUCAUGUAAUCGCAAACUGUGUAAUGCGACUUUACUAUUGGACAUGGACCAUUUUGUUGAAGACUGUUAGUUGGGUGAAAAAUUGUGUUUGCUGAGUGCCAUUGUUGUGAGGCGGAUUGUUAUGUUUCAAUUGAAUUUACCGUUUGCAUUUUUUUUAA